AUAUCUUUUAUUUUCCUUCUGAUUUGCUUGUAUUAUUUUCACUUUGUCUACAGUUUUACCUGCCACACAAUGUCUGUCUUCACCACAUAAUGAGAUCAAAUAGUCAUAGCUCUGGUCUGGAUUAAAUCCUAGAUCUUAAUCACAUUCAUCCAUUCAUGGACUUACAGAUCAUCUAAAUGAGGAACUCAGGGCACUCAGCAGACAAAUCCUUAGCAAGCCAAUACAGACCUGCUAAGAGUCUAAGUGAAAUUGCGUGAUGCUCCAACCAACCUGAGAGCUGCAUUAAGCAAGGAACACAGUGACAAGGAUACUGCAGUCUGCCAGGGGAAAUCAUGAUAUUUUUAAGUCCUACCUAAUGUCUGAAAAACUGAAUAUGGACACUGAAAAUGCAUCACCCACAAUGAAACUGUGCUACUUUGAGCUCUUGCACUGCAGAGAAGAGAGGUAUUAA
rnacentral:lncRNA from 1 species